GAGCCGUUAUGGUAGGUAUUAAUGAACCUCUCUGAGCCGUUAUGGUAGGUAUUAAUGACCCUCUCUGAGCCGUUAUGGUAGGUAUUAAUGAACCUCUCUGAGCCGUUAUGGUAGGUAUUAAUGACCCUCUCUGAGCCGUUAUGGUAGGUAUUAAUGAACCUCUCUGAGCCGUUAUGGUACGUAUUAAUGAACCUCUCUGAGCCGUUAUGGUAGGUAUUAAUGAACCUCUCUGAGCCGUUAUGGUACGUAUUAAUGAACCUCUCUGAGCCGUUAUGGUACGUAUUAAUGACCCUCUCUGAGCCGUUAUGGUAGGUAUUAAUGAACCUCUCUGAGCCGUUAUGGUAGGUAUUAAUGAACCUCUCUGAGCCGUUAUGAUACGUAUUAAUGAACCUCUCUGAGCCGUUACGGUACGUAUUAAUGAACCUCUCUGAGCCGUUAUGGUAGGUAUUAAUGAACCUCUCUGAGCCGUUAUGGUAGGUAUUAAUGAACCUCUCUGAGCCGUUAUGGUAGGUAUUAAUGAACCUCUCUGAGCCGUUAUGAUACGUAUUAAUGAACCUCUCUGAGCCGUUACGGUACGUAUUAAUGACCCUCUCUGAGCCGUUAUGGUACGUAUUAAUGACCCUCUCUGAGCCGUUAUGGUAGGUAUUAAUGAACCUCUCUGAGCC